rnacentral:rRNA from 1 species
AUUGAACGCUGGCGGCAGGCCUAACACAUGCAAGUCGAACGAGUGGCGGACGGGUGAGUAAUGGCUGGGAAACUGCCUGAUUGACGGGGAUAACUACUGGAAACGGUAGCUAAUACCGCAUACCAGCGGAUGUGCCCAGAUGGGAUUAGCUAGUAGGUGGGGUAAAGGAUCACCUAGGCGACGAUCCCUAGCUGGUCUGAGAGGAUGACCAUCCACACUGGAACUGAGACACGGGCCAGAUUCCUACGGGAGGCAGCAGUGGGGAAUAUUGCACAGUGGGCGCUAGCCUUAUGCAUCCAUGCCGCGGUUAUGAAGAGGGCCUUCGGGUUGUAAAGUACGUUCAGCGGGGAGGCGUUACCCGCAUAAGAAGCACGGGCUAACUCCGGGCCAGCAGCCGCGGUAAGAC